CCUACGGGAGGCAGCAGUGGGGAAUAUUGCACAAUGGGCGAAAGCCUGAUGCAGCAACGCCGCGUGAGCGAUGAAGGCCUUCGGGUCGUAAAGCUCUGUCCUCAAGGAAGAUAAUGACGGUACGUGAGGAGGAAGCCCCGGCUAACUACGUGCCAGCAGCCGCGGUAAUAGGGAGGGGGCUAGCGUUAUCCGGAAUUACUGGGCGUAAAGGGUGCGUAGGUGGGUUCUUAAGUCAGAGGUGAAAGGUUACGGCUCAACCGUAGUAAGCCUUUGAAACUGGGAAACUUGAGUGCAGGAGAGGAGAGUGGAAUUCCUAGUGUAGCGGUGAAAUGCGUAGAUAUUAGGAGGAACACCAGUUGCGAAGGCGGCUCUCUGGACUGUAACUGACACUGAGGCACGAAAGCGUGGGGAGCAAACAGGAUUAGAUACCCUAGUAGUC
rnacentral:rRNA from 1 species